rnacentral:antisense_RNA from 1 species
CUGCCAUCUGUGUUUGGAGACUGUGUCCCAGACUUUCGAGCUCACAUUAGUCAUCGCCACAGACGGGACUGGAGUCCUGCCCACUGGAGUCCCAAAGGUCUCUGGUGUUUGUUUUCCACUCUGCAUGCCUGGGUUGGGGGAUGGCAGGGGGAUACAGGUUGUUGGAGUACCUCCCAGCUGGCCGUUUCCUUGGUUCCCUGGGGCUGCCUUGCUUCCUCUCUAGAUCAUCAGUCUCAGCAGAGGAAACCAAAAAUCUCCUCCUCGCCCCGCAACCAUCUUUUGCUGACUGCUAAGCAUCCCUGCUCUGAAACAAUAACUACCAUAAAAGCAAUAGGCUUGUCUUCUCUGUUCUAAGCAUGUACUAUUCAGGUGAUUUAGGGGGAGUAAACAGGCCCAGAGAAAUUAAAUAAUUUGUCUAAGGGUACCGGCUAAUGAGGAUCUGAGCUCAGUUCUAAAUGACCCCAUCACUCCUGCUCUUUUUUAGUCCCCUUUAUAAUUAUUUUAAAAUAACAUUUAAUUAAUUUUCUAUUAUAAAAGGAACACAUGCUCAAACAAAAAACUUAGAAAAUAUAAAAAUGUAUGAAGACAAAACAAAAUAACCCCCAGUAUUAGCAAUGCCAACUUGCCAAGACAAAAAUGUUAACAUUUUUAUUUCUUUUUCUUUUCAAUCUUUACUCUCUGUGUGCACACACACACAUAGGCAAAGUGAAAUCACAUUGUAUAUUCUUUUUUGCUUCUAGCAUUUUCCACUUAGCUAUCUAAUAUUACUAUUUCCUGAUAUCAACAAAUGAUCUUCAAUCCCAU